rnacentral:rRNA from 1 species
UACGUAGGGUGCAGGCGUUAAUCGGAAUUACUGGGCGUAAAGCGUGCGCAGGCGGUUUCUUAAGUCAGAUGUGAAAGCCCCGGGCUUAACCUGGGAACUGCGUUUGAAACUGGGAGACUUGAGUGUGGCAGAGGGGGGUGGAAUUCCACGUGGUAGCAGUGAAAUGCGUAGAUAUGUGGAGGAACACCGAUGGCGAAGGCAGCCCCCUGGGUUAACACUGACGCUCAUGCACGAAAGCGUGGGGAGCAAACAG